UAGAGUUUGAUCAUGGCUCAGAUUGAACGCUAGCGGGAUGCCUUACACAUGCAAGUCGAACGGCAGCACGGACUUCGGUCUGGUGGCGAGUGGCGAACGGGUGAGUAAUGUAUCGGAACGUGCCCAGUAGCGGGGGAUAACUACGCGAAAGCGUAGCUAAUACCGCAUACGCCCUACGGGGGAAAGCAGGGGAUCGUAAGACCUUGCACUAUUGGAGCGGCCGAUAUCGGAUUAGCUAGUUGGUGGGGUAACGGCUCACCAAGGCGACGAUCCGUAGCUGGUUUGAGAGGACGACCAGCCACACUGGGACUGAGACACGGCCCAGACUCCUACGGGAGGCAGCAGUGGGGAAUUUUGGACAAUGGGGGAAACCCUGAUCCAGCCAUCCCGCGUGUGCGAUGAAGGCCUUCGGGUUGUAAAGCACUUUUGGCAGGAAAGAAACGUCAUGGGUUAAUACCCCGUGAAACUGACGGUACCUGCAGAAUAAGCACCGGCUAACUACGUGCCAGCAGCCGCGGUAAUACGUAGGGUGCAAGCGUUAAUCGGAAUUACUGGGCGUAAAGCGUGCGCAGGCGGUUCGGAAAGAAAGAUGUGAAAUCCCAGAGCUUAACUUUGGAACUGCAUUUUUAACUACCGGGCUAGAGUGUGUCAGAGGGAGGUGGAAUUCCGCGUGUAGCAGUGAAAUGCGUAGAUAUGCGGAGGAACACCGAUGGCGAAGGCAGCCUCCUGGGAUAACACUGACGCUCAUGCACGAAAGC
rnacentral:rRNA from 1 species